GAUGAACGCUGGCGGCGUGCUUAACACAUGCAAGUCGAGCGAAGCGCUAAAGCGGAUUUCUUCGGAUUGAAGUUUUAGUGACUGAGCGGCGGACGGGUGAGUAACGCGUGGGUAACCUGCCUCAUACAGGGGGAUAACAGUUGGAAACGGCUGCUAAUACCGCAUAAGCGCACAGUACCGCAUGGUACGGUGUGAAAAACUCCGGUGGUAUGAGAUGGACCCGCGUCUGAUUAGGUAGUUGGUGGGGUAACGGCCUACCAAGCCGACGAUCAGUAGCCGACCUGAGAGGGUGACCGGCCACAUUGGGACUGAGACACGGCCCAAACUCCUGCGGGAGGCAGCAGUGGGGAAUAUUGCACAAUGGGGGAAACCCUGAUGCAGCGACGCCGCGUGAGCGAAGAAGUAUUUCGGUAUGUAAAGCUCUAUCAGCAGGGAAGAAAAUGACGGUACCUGACUAAG
rnacentral:rRNA from 1 species